rnacentral:rRNA from 1 species
GGGGCUAUCAUGCAGUCGAGCGAUGGAUUGAGAGCUUGCUCUCAAGAAGUUAGCGGCGGACGGGUGAGUAACACGUGGGUAACCUGCCCAUAAGACUGGGAUAACUCCGGGAAACCGGGGCUAAUACCGGAUAACAUUUUGAACCGCAUGGUUCGAAAUUGAAAGGCGGCUUCGGCUGUCACUUAUGGAUGGACCCGCGUCGCAUUAUCUAGUUGGAGAGGUAACGACUCUCCAAGUCACACAUGCGUAGCUGACCUGA